AUGAACGCUGGCGGCGUGCCUAAUACAUGCAAGUCGAGCGAACAGACGAGGAGCUUGCUCCUCUGACGUUAGCGGCGGACGGGUGAGUAACACGUGGAUAACCUACCUAUAAGACUGGGAUAACUUCGGGAAACCGGAGCUAAUACCGGAUAAUAUAUUGAACCGCAUGGUUCAAUAGUGAAAGACGGUUUUGCUGUCACUUAUAGAUGGAUCCGCGCCGCAUUAGCUAGUUGGUAAGGUAACGGCUUACCAAAGCAACGAUGCGUAGCCGACCUGAGAGGGUGAUCGGCCACACUGGAACUGAGACACGGUCCAGACUCCUACGGGAGGCAGCAGUAGGGAAUCUUCCGCAAUGGGCGAAAGCCUGACGGAGCAACGCCGCGUGAGUGAUGAAGGUCUUCGGAUCGUAAAACUCUGUUAUUAGGGAAGAACAAAUGUGUAAGUAACUAUGCACGUCUUGACGGUACCUAAUCAGAAAGCCACGGCUAACUACGUG
rnacentral:rRNA from 1 species